rnacentral:lncRNA from 1 species
GGAGGGGUCAGCUGCGGCCACGUGAGGGCCAGGCCCCUCUCUGACUGCCCAGGCUGCAUCCACACAGAAGAUUCCAUGGCUUUCCAUAAAAGAGAGUGGGAGAAUGUCCUCUCUAAAGGCCUGGGGAGAGGAGACAGCCUCGGCCGGGGCUCACCAGCCAGCAGCUGCCAGCCAGGCCAGCAAUGCCAAGGCACCCGGCGUUCCUGGAAGCCAAGCCCUGUUUGAUCUAAUGGGGCAGCUGUGGGUGCAGACCCAGAUAAAGAGAUAAACCCAGACCCAGAAACCUGGGGGAGGAGGGCUGGGGGAGUCACUUAACCUGUCUGGGGCUCAGUCUUCUCAUCUGUAAAGUGGGAAUGAUGGCACCUGGUACCCACUUGAUUGGCUGUUGCAAACAUGAAACCAGAUGGGCCUGUAAAUCACAGGGCACUCGGCCGCCAUCACCAUCAUCAUCAUCAACAUCAUCAUCCUCAUCAUCGUCUUCAUCAUCAUGGCCCCAGC